UUUCAGUGCAAUAUUUGUCUUCAGAUGAGGUACUGCAGAGCUAUUGAAUCAGUUGAAGAAACUUCUUCCUAGCUUUGCAAGUCUGCAUAAAUGUUUUGAUCAAAUGAAGAUCCACUGACUGGAAAAACCAUGACUGAAUGGAAUAAACUCUUUUGCACUUGGACGCUUUUCGAAGUCAGUGGGGGCUGAGUACAUGGAAGGAUAACAAGACCGAGUCCUAACAGCAGAUGCUGUUAACCAUUGUAUGAAAGAGAGGCUUGAGAAAAGACUGUUCUGGGCGACUGAUUGCACAGGGACCAUAUAAAAAAACUUUAUUUUCCAGUAGAGUAAUUUCAUCCCAGA